UGCCUGGUAUGCUCUGGUCCAUGGGGUCACGAAGAGUCGGACACAACUAAACAACUAAACAACAACAACAACAGAACUGCAUUCACAGAAAAUCUGAAAAACGUAAGCUUUUAAUUUUUAAAUUUUUCUUACAACUGCAGAAAGAGUAUUAUAUGGAGCCGGUUCCACAGAUCAAAGCAGCCAAGUUAGCAAAUACAGUAUUUCUGAGGGUCUGAUAGUGUUGGCACAUUUACUCUGCAGGAGAGAGGGAAAAGGUGGCAUCAAAGAAACAUCAGAAGUCUCCAGUGCUCUCUCCCCCCACCCAAAAGGAAACCAACGUUAUAAAAGUCAACCCCUGGAACUUGCUGCCGCUUGAGUUUUCAUGGAAGCUGAACAGUAGUGGAAUGGAAACAGAUUCGAUUGUGAGAGACACGGGACAGGAAGAAUAUUAUUGCCUCCUCUCACUCCUGACCUGAGAGUGAAUGUUGGCG